UCGAUGUUCCUCGAUUGAAAAAAAAAAAAAAAAAACGACUCCCGACUAAUAAAGGAAAUGGGAAUAAAAAUGGUAACCACGUAAAAAGUUUUUAACGAGCGAAGGUGUCGACGAUAAAAUAUCGAGUGAUUAUGAUAUUGUAAAUACGCGUGUUAAAUUUUAUCAUCGACCAAUUCUUAAGCGGGUUUUCGCUGUUGUUGUACGUGAGGUAAAACAGUACGAGUCAGGGAGACACUACUCCGUUCGUAAGAAAGUAUCGCAACGUGAUAUUACGAAAUUUUGUGGUGAAAUUCACGAGUUUCGACUGCAGGGGAAAAAUAAUAUAAUAAUACAGUAAUACAAACGGGGAAGUACUCCGAAGUAAUACUUACGUCUCCGGUAGUGCUGCACGAAUGUUGGAAGUUUAUGAAUUAUCGAGAAUCCGAAUUGGUCGCUAAAAACCCGGACAC
rnacentral:lncRNA from 1 species